CCAAUAGCGUAUAUUAAAGUUGUUGCAGUUAAAAAGCUCGUAGUUGAAUUUUGGGAUCAGUGCGCCGGUCGUGUCUUCGGUAUGCACUGGUGUCACUGGUUCCUCCCUUCUGACGAACCAUCAUGCCAGUCACUUGGUGUGGCGGGAAAUCAGGACUGUGACUUUGAAAAAAUUAUAGUGUUUAAAGCAGGCUCACGCUUGAACACAUUAGCAUGGUAUAAUGAAAUAGGACGUUGAUCUUAUUUUGUUGGUUUCUAGGAUUGACGUAAUGAUUAAUAGGGAUAGUUGGGGGCAUUAGUAUUCAAUUGUCAGAGGUGAAAUUCUUGGAUUUAUUGAAGACUAACUACUGCGAAAGCAUUUGCCAAGGAUGUUUUCAUUAAUCAAGAACGAAAGUUAGGGGAUCGAAGACGAUCAGAUACCGUCGUAGUCUUAACCAUAAACUAUGCCGACUAGGGAUCGGAUGAUGUUAAUUUUUUAAUGACUCAUUCGGCACCUUACG
rnacentral:rRNA from 1 species